UUUCAUUUCCCACACUUUUCAUACCUCUCUCUCUCUCUCUCUCUCUCUCUCCAUAAAUCUUAACAAUGCCGUGACCCCCUUUCUCCACUAUAUAUACGGCCACCACCACCUCCAAUGAAAAAAUCAAAGCCGUAUUUGUACUCCUCAUUUCACGACCUUCCUAAUGAAUCGAUUAGAAUUUUGUUUCAAUCAACCUCGUUGUUGACAAUCUUUUCUCCAUCUCCGACUGAUCUGUUAAUAAUGACCACCAUUUCUCCUUCUCCGACCGGUUUGUUAAGAUCGACCUCUGUUUCUCCUUCUCUACUACUCUUAAAAGGUUUGUUCAAGUUGAAGACCAGAGAUUUAAAGAAGUAUUUUUGGUAGUCAAGAGAAUGUCCUGAUGAACUACAAGAAGCAUCACCAAGAAUAAUGUUUGCAGCAUCAAGGUGUGGUGAUUUUCCAAAGAUUCAAGAUAUUUAUGCCCUUCUUACUUCUAGAUUUGGAAAAGAAUUUGUUGCAUGUGCUAUUGAGUUGAGGAACAAUUGUGAAGUUCAUCCUAAGAAAAAUAUAUGGAAAUGAAGAAGGUGAACGGUUGAAGAGAUGGACGAUGUGUUAGAGAUGGAAGAGAUGGAGGGUUAACUGUUGGGUGAAAGAUUUUGUCACGGUUCCUCUCUCAUUACAAGGUCAUAAGACUGUUUCUUAUUUCCCCCUCAUUGAUAGGACUUGCCAUGCUCUAUAUCUUAGAGUUCAUCAUCAAUAAUGGAGACAAGGUUUAGUUGAACAUAAGGUGCAUGCUACAUAAUUUUGGUGGUAAUAUUGAAAUGGAUGGUGUUUUGGAUGCAAUUGAUUUAGAGUCUAUUUAUGCUCGUGUAAUGCAAACUCCACAAUGGUACAACUAUUGUUUAAGUCAACAAUAACUUACAAGUUCAUGUAUAUUGAAAACUUGGAAAAACUUAAGAAACACUAUUAAAAUGUAUAUUUACUGUCAUAUUAUAUGAUUAAUGCAUUUUCUAUUCAUCGUAUUAUUGACAUAAUACUUUA